AGCUUUGCGCAGAGGCGGUGUCGUACCCAAUGAAGUGCUGCUGAGGGGCGACUAUUGCUAGUUGAAAACUUUUCCCAAUACCCCGCCGGGACAACGUGAAAUACCGUUGGCCAUGGCAAUUUUUGGCUGGCCCUACGUGGC
rnacentral:snRNA from 1 species